GCCAUAGGUGAGUUGCUUGUGUCUGAGAGAGACAGAAAAACGGACGCCCGGGUUUCGAAAUUACGAACAUUAUAUACUAUAUAGUCUAUGCCUGUAGCAUCACUGCGUAGUGCGCCAAGUUCGACAAUCGACAGCACAAGUUCGACAGCAGCCAAACGAGGUGAGCCGUGCGAUCAACGAGAACGAAAGUAAAAUCUAAGACAAGAAAGACAAGAAAGUAAGAAACUAUUUCUAAACGAAGACGACUGUGAGCCGGAUAUUUUCGAGUGCGUCGAGUCUAAUUCAGUGCUUCCUAAUACACGACUUCACCAUUACGUGGAAGGCGGCUUACACGCAAGCAGGACACGGCCGACACGGGAGUACGAGACGGAGACGACGAUCGCAACAAAGACGGCUCCCAGGCUGCGAAGUGCGAACUGCGUAAACAGAAUUCCAAGAAAUUUUAACCUUCAAAACGCAACUCAGAGCAAGCUGACCGAGGCUUCAAGAAAACUAUGGAUAUAAUAAUAAGUGUCAAAAUUCAAGAGUGACGUUUGGAAGUAUUUUUGAAGGAUAGACCAGUCGGAGUCGGAAUGCUUAGUCUGCAAUACCAUCAUUAAAUCAACUGGCAAUACAACAAAUUUACGUGCUCACUUACGACGGCAUCAUCCAAAAGUCAAUGUCAAAGUUCUGACAGGAGCAAUUAAAAGAAAAGCUUCUGAUGAGACAGAGGUAGAUGAGGAAUCGCCCUGUAAAAAACUGAACCUCAAGGAAAGUGACGAAGAAACAAAAAAUUCGAUCUCGAGGACGCCUACAACUCCUACGACCCCUACAGUUGCAACGCCGAAGCGGAAAAAAUCUCAAUUGACGGUAGAUAGUAUUUUUGAACAUCAGCGAUCAUACGCAGAUGAUGGUGCAAAGGCUGCUGAAACUACGAAACGACUUAUUUUUAUGCUGGCUAAAGAUAAGAUGCCGUUAUCCACAGUGGAAAAAGAAGGUUUCAAAACUUUCGUUAGCUAUACGGUGCCUUUUUACAAAAUUCCAAAUAGGAAUCAAAUAACCGAGACAAUGGAAGACAAGUAUAAAGCACUUUCAAAUAAUGUGAAAGAUAUGUUUUCUAAACUAAAUGAUAUAGUUUUAACAACAGAUAUCUGGACUGAUACUGUAAAUAACAGAAGCUAUUUGGGUUUAACAAGCCAUUUCAUAGAUAAUGGUGCGUUAAGAUCGAUUAUGAUUGGAGUAAUGGAAUUGGACGAUCGCCAUUCAGCAAAUAAUAUACACAAAUGGUUAGAUGAACUUCUUGCUCUAUGGAAAGGUUGUAAGGAAUCUGAACUCUACUACUCUUUGUCGCAAAAAUCUGAACUGUACUACUCUCCACCGCAAAAAUCUGAACUGUACUACUCUUCGCCGCAAAAAUCUGAACUGUACUACUCUUCGCCGGAAAAUCUGAACCGUACUACUCUUCGUAGGAAAUCUGAACCAUACUACUCUUCGUAGGGACCGACGAGACGGUCUCGUAAUUCCUCUAAAGUAUGGUAUAUAUUCAUGUUCAAGAUAAUUAUUUAUAAAUUCUUUACUAAUUGUUUUUUCACUAGUUACAUUUUUCACUACGUUUUUUUUUAAUAUGUCAAUAUUAAAAUCCCCAAAUAUACAAUGGUUUUUAAUAUUUCUAUGCUUGGACAAAAUCUUUCUUACAUUAUUUACAAAUUCCAACUUUGGUAUAUCAUGGCAGCUGUACAUUGCAGAAAUCAAGUUAAAUUCUUUUACUUUAUUAUUGUCUGAUUGAGCGUUUUAAUAUCUUCUACUUCACAUUCAAACUUGCUUAUAUCUUCGAAAAUUGUGAUCUUGAUUCAUUUUUGUUUUUUCCCUGGUUCUUAAUCUUUCCGAUAUUUGUGUAUUGAUUGAUGGUAGUGAAUUCGUAGAUAUUCCCGACACUUUCUUUAUCAUACAUUUAGCUGAUGUUUUUUCUACUGUACCAACGUAUCUUGGUAAUGUAGGCUGUAUAGUAUAAUCGGUGAGGUCAACAAACUUUUUCAACUUAGCUUGCGGAAUUUGGCACUCGUGGCUAUCUGUUGCUACAUGUUCUAUAUUAUACUUUGUCUUAUACCUGCUAUUGCUAAAUCGCAAUUUGCACAUAUAAUUUUAUUGACUUGACAUUCUUUUGUUUUAUGUUCCCCAGCACAUUUUAAACAGAUACCAUUAUUAUUACAUUUGUUACCAUUGUGGCCAAACCUGCCACAAUUGAAACAUGAUUUUACAUUACAAUAAUCAUAGAUUUUACAGUUUUGAUAUCCAACAAAGAGUCUGUUCUUAUUUUCUCCAAAAUGCUGGUAAAUUUCGCCAGGCAUUUCUAAAGUCACUGUCUGCAGUUUAGUUCUACUGUUUUUGUAGAAGUUCAAGAUAAUACAUUUUCUUUUAAAAUUGCUAAAAUUUAUCUCAUUUAUGUCAUUCUAUAUACUUUUGUCGUCCA